rnacentral:rRNA from 1 species
CGUGUAGGCGGUUGGCCAAGUCCGACGUGAAAGCCCGAGGCUUAGCCUCGGAAGUGCAUCGGAAACUAGUCAGCUGGAGCGCGAUAGAGGAGGGUAGAAUUCCUGGUGUAGCGGUGAAAUGCGUAGAUAUCAGGAGGAAUACCGGCGGCGAAGGCGGCCCUCUGGAUCGUUGCUGACGCUGAGACGCGAAAGCGUGGGAGCAAACA